AUUGAACGCUGGCGGCAGGCCUAACACAUGCAAGUCGAGCGGAUGAAGGGAGCUUGCUCCUGGAUUCAGCGGCGGACGGGUGAGUAAUGCCUAGGAAUCUGCCUGGUAGUGGGGGAUAACGUCCGGAAACGGGCGCUAAUACCGCAUACGUCCUGCGGGAGAAAGUGGGGGAUCUUCGGACCUCACGCUAUCAGAUGAGCCUAGGUCGGAUUAGCUAGUUGGUGGGGUAAAGGCCUACCAAGGCGACGAUCCGUAACUGGUCUGAGAGGAUGAUCAGUCACACUGGAACUGAGACACGGACCAGGCUCCUACGGGAGGCAGCAGUGGGGAAUAUUGGACAAUGGGCGAAAGCCUGAUCCAGCCAUGCCGCGUGUGUGAAGAAGGUCUUCGGAUUGUAAAGCACUUUAAGUUGGGAGGAAGGGCAGUAAGUUAAUACCUUGCUGUUUUGACGUUACCAACAGAAUAAGCACCGGCUAACUUCGUG
rnacentral:rRNA from 1 species